rnacentral:rRNA from 1 species
UGGGGAAUUGUUCGCAAUGGGCGCAAGCCUGACGACGCAACGCCGCGUGGAGGAUGAAGGUCUUCGGAUUGUAAACUCCUGUUGCUCGGGACGAAUAGCUUCAACCUAAUACGUUGAAGUCUGACGGUACCGAGUGAGGAAGCCCCGGCUAACUCUGUGCCAGCAGCCGCGGUAAUACAGAGGGGGCAAGCGUUGUUCGGAAUUACUGGGCGUAAAGGGCGCGUAGGCGGCCUGCUAAGUCGAACGUGAAAUCCCCGGGCUCAACCCGGGAACUGCGUCCGAUACUGGUGGGCUUGAAUCCGGGAGAGGGAUGUGGAAUUCCAGGUGUAGCGGUGAAAUGCGUAGAUAUCUGGAGGAACACCGGUGGCGAAGGCGGCAUCCUGGACCGGUAUUGACGCUGAGGCGCGAAAGCCAGGGGAGCAAACGGG